UACAGAGGGUGCGAGCGUUGUCCGGAAUCACUGGGCGUAAAGGGCGCGUAGGUGGCGACCCAAGUCGAUGGUGAAAGCUCGCCGCUCAACGGCGAGUCGGCCACCGAUACUGGGUUGCUUGAGCACUGUAGAGGCUAAUGGAAUUCCGGGUGUAGCGGUGGGAUGCGUAGAGAUCCGGAAGAACACCGGUGGCGAAGGCGGUUAGCUGGGCAGUUGCUGACACUGAGGCGCGACAGCGUGGGGAGCAAACAGG
rnacentral:rRNA from 1 species